CCUACGGGCGGCAGCAGUGGGGAAUAUUGGACAAUGGGCGCAAGCCUGAUCCAGCAAUGCCGCGUGAGUGAGGAAGGCCUUAGGGUUGUAAAGCUCUUUCACCCACGAGGCGGUAGUGGGAGAAGAAGCCCCGGCUAACUUCGUGCCAGCAGCCGCGGUAAUACGAAGGGGGCGAGCGUUGUUCGGAUUUACUGGGCGUAAAGGGCGCGCAGGCGGCUUUUCAAGUCAGGCGUGAAAGCCCCGGGCUUAACCUGGGAACUGCGUCUGGGACUGAGAGGCUAGAGUUCGGGAGAGGAGAGUGGAAUUCCCAGUGUAGAGGUGAAAUUCGUAGAUAUUGGGAAGAACACCGGUGGCGAAGGCGGCUCUCUGGACGAACUGACGCUGAGGCGCGAAAGCGUGGGGAGCAAACAGGAUUAGAUACCCUGGUAGUC
rnacentral:rRNA from 1 species